CGGUAAAACCAGCACCUCAAGUGGUCAGGAUGAUUAUUGGGCCUAAAGCAUCCGUAGCCGGCUCUGUAAGUUUUCGGUUAAAUCUAUGCGCUCAACGUAUGGGCUGCCGAAAAUACUGCAGAGAUAGGGAGUGGGAGAGGUAGACGGUACUCGGUAGGAAGGGGUAAAAUCCUUUGAUCUAUCGAUGACCACCUGUGGCGAAGGCGGUCUACCAGAACACGUUCGACGGUGAGGGAUGAAAGCUGGGGGAGCAAACCGGAUUAGAUACCCGGGUAGUCCCAGCCGUAAACGAUGCAGACUCGAUGAUGCAUUGGCAUAUAGCCAGUGCAGUGUCGCAGGGAAGCCGUUAAGUCUGCCGCCUGGGAAGUACGUACGCAAGUAUGAAACUUAAAGGAAUUGGCGGGGGAGCACCACAAGGGGUGAAGCCUGCGGUUCAAUUGGAGUCAACGCCAGAAAUCUUACCCGGAGAGACAGCAGAAUGAAGGUCAAGCUGAAGACUUUACCAGACAAGCUGAGAGGUGGUGCAUGGCCGUCGCCAGCUCGUGCCGUGAGAUGUCCUGUUAAGUCAGGUAACGAGCGAGAUCCCUGCCACUAGUUGCUAUCAUUAUUCUCAGGAAUAGUGGGGCGAAUUAGUGGGACUGCCGUUGUUAAAACGGAGGAAGGAAGGGGCUACGGCAGGUCAGUAUGACCCGAAACUCUGGGGCCACACGGGGGGGUGCAAAGUUAGCGACAAUGAGUUCCAAACUCGAAAAAGAGUGGCAAUCCCUAAACGCUAUCCCAGUUAUGACUGAGGGCUGUAACUUCGCCCUCACGAAUAUGGAAUCCCUAGUAACCGCGUGUCAUUACCGCGCGGUGAAUACGU
rnacentral:rRNA from 1 species